UCUUGUGCAAUAAACGAAAGUAUGACACAGAGAGGACACAUUUAAUUGAGCCCGUCAAAUUAAGUGCCAGCCGACGCGGUUAAACUUAAGGGCUGGUCUUUAUAAGUAAAAAGGCGUAAAGGAUGUGUAGGCUAAGAAACGAUCCAAGUAGGUAAAUGGAAUUUUUCUGGAGCGGUAGAAUGUGAGGAUAGAAAAUAGAACCCCUAAGGUAAAAACUAUUUACUACAAGGUAGGCUGAAACAUGAGAGUGUGGGGAGCAAACAGGAUUAGAGACCCUGGUAGUCCACACUGUGAACUUUGAAGAUGAUGCUUAGCAGACCCGAAAGGUAAAAUCUUCCGCCUGAGUAGUACGAUCGCAAGAUUAAAAUUCAAAAACUUUGGCUGUUCACUAUUUCGAUUAGAGGAGCGUGUAGUUUAAUUCGAUGGUCCGCGUGUUACCUUACCCCAACUUGAAUCUAUGACCGGUAUUGCAUGGCCGUCGUAAGUUCGUGUAUUAAGCUAGAAGGGACCCAACCCGGGCAUUUGCCCGGAGGAAGUCAGGUCUUAUGAUCCGAAUGUUGGGGGAUUUUAUGCGCUACAUUUUCUUAUAUAAUGAGAAACCUGGAAGGUGAGUCUCUAAAGUAAGAGUUCGGAAGGUCGCUGUAAGACGACUGGAAGUUGGAUUUAAUAGUAAUCGGAAAGUAGGGCGUUCCGGUGAAUUGGUACAAGUGUUAGCACAAAUUGCCCGUCACCUUUACUUAGAAUGGUUAUUCGG
rnacentral:rRNA from 1 species